AUUUCAAAAGGUAGCCUAUCAA
rnacentral:piRNA from 1 species